UGUCAUAUCAUGUUGAAACAGUAGUUCUUGUCUGAUCACCAAAGUUAAGCAACAUCAAGCCUGAUCAGUAGCUAGAUGGGUGACUGUGUGGGAAUAUCAGGUGUUGUAAG